rnacentral:rRNA from 1 species
GACGAACGCUGGCGGCGUGCCUAAUACAUGCAAGUAGAACGCUGAAGGAGGAGCUCGCUUCUCUGGAUGAGUUGCGAACGGGUGAGUAACGCGUAGGUAACCUGCCUGGUAGCGGGGGAUAACUAUUGGAAACGAUAGCUAAUACCGCAUAAUAGUAGAUGUUGCAUGACAUUUGCUUAAAAGGUGCAAUUGCAUCACUACCAGAUGGACCUGCGUUGUAUUAGCUAGUUGGUGGGGUAACGGCUCACCAAGGCGACGAUACAUAGCCGACCUGAGAGGGUGAUCGGCCACACUGGGACUGAGACACGGCCCAGACUCCUACGGGAGGCAGCAGUAGGGAAUCUUCGGCAAUGGACGGAAGUCUGACCGAGCAACGCCGCGUGAGUGAAGAAGGGUUUCGGAUCGUAAAGCUCUGUUGUAAGAGAAGAACGAGUGUGAGAGUGGAAAGUUCACACUGUGACGGUAGCUUACCAGAAAGGGACGGCUAACUACGUG